UGCAAGUCGAACGAAGUGGCAAACGGGUGAGUAACACGUAAACAACCUGCCUUCAGGAUGGGGACAACAGACGGAAACGACUGCUAAUACCGAAUACCUGAAGAGGGGUUUGCGUCUGAUUAGGUGGUUGGUGAGGUAACGGCCCACCAAGCCGACGAUCAGUAGCCGGUCUGAGAGGAUGAACGGCCACACUGGAAUUGAGACACGGUCCAGACUCCUACGGGAGGCAGCAGUGGGGAAUCUUCCGCAAUGGGCGAAAGCCUGACGGAGCAACGCCGCGUGAGUGAUGACGGCCUUCGGGUUGUAAAGCUCUGUGAUCGGGGACGCGGUACCCGAAUAGCAAGCCACGGCUAACUACGUGCCAGCAGCCGCGGUAAUACGUAGGUGGCAAGCGUUGUCCGGAAUUAUUGGGCGUAAAGCGCGCGCAGGCGGUUCUUAAGUCCAUCUUAAAAGUGCGGGGCUUAACCCC
rnacentral:rRNA from 1 species